CAAGAAUUAGUUUAAUUUAAAAUAGUAAUUUUGGGAAUUAUUGAUGGGAAAAUCCUUUUCUUGA
rnacentral:tRNA from 1 species